ensembl:lncRNA MALAT1 metastasis associated lung adenocarcinoma transcript 1
AGUCUUAGAAUGGAAAAAGUAAAGAAAUAUCAACUUCCAAGUUGGCAAGUAACUCCCAAUGAUUUAGUUUUUUUCCCCCCAGUUUGAAUUGGGAAGCUGGGGGAAGUUAAAUAUGAGCCACUGGGUGUACCAGUGCAUUAAUUUGGGCAAGGAAAGUGUCAUAAUUUGAUACUGUAUCUGUUUUCCUUCAAAGUAUAGAGCUUUUGGGGAAGGAAAGUAUUGAACUGGGGGUUGGUCUGGCCUACUGGGCUGACAUUAACUACAAUUAUGGGAAAUGCAAAAGUUGUUUGGAUAUGGUAGUGUGUGGUUCUCUUUUGGAAUUUUUUUCAGGUGAUUUAAUAAUAAUUUAAAACUACUAUAGAAACUGCAGAGCAAAGGAAGUGGCUUAAUGAUCCUGAAGGGAUUUCUUCUGAUGGUAGCUUUUGUAUUAUCAAACUUCACAGAGAAUGCAGUUGUCUUGACUUCAGGUCUGUCUGUUCUGUUGGCAAGUAAAUGCAGUACUGUUCUGAUCCCGCUGCUAUUAGAAUGCAUUGUGAAACGACUGGAGUAUGAUUAAAAGUUGUGUUCCCCAA